GAUGAACGCUGGCGGCGUGCCUAAUACAUGCAAGUCGAGCGAACGGACGAGAAGCUUGCUUCUCUGAUGUUAGCGGCGGACGGGUGAGUAACACGUGGAUAACCUACCUAUAAGACUGGGAUAACUUCGGGAAACCGGAGCUAAUACCGGAUGAUAUUUUGAACCGCAUGGUUCAAAAGUGAAAGACGGUCUUGCUGUCACUUAUAGAUGGAUCCGCGCUGCAUUAGCUAGUUGGUAAGGUAACGGCUUACCAAGGCAACGAUGCAUAGCCGACCUGAGAGGGUGAUCGGCCACACUGGAACUGAGACACGGUCCAGACUCCUACGGGAGGCAGCAGUAGGGAAUCUUCCGCAAUGGGCGAAAGCCUGACGGAGCAACGCCGCGUGAGUGAUGAAGGUCUUCGGAUCGUAAAACUCUGUUAUUAGGGAAGAACAUAUGUGUAAGUAACUGUGGACAUCUUGACGGUACCUAAUCAGAAAGCCACGGCUAACUACGUG
rnacentral:rRNA from 1 species